rnacentral:rRNA from 1 species
UACCAGCUCUCCGAGUGGUAGGGAUGAUUAUUGGGCUUAAAGCGUCCGUAGCCGGCUUAGCAAGUCUCCUGUUAAAUUCAGCGACCUAAUCGUUGAGCCGCGGGAGAUACUACUAGGCUAGGAGGCGGGAGAGGUCAACGGUACUUCCGGGGUAGGGGUGAAAUCCUAUAACCCCGGGAGGACCACCAGUGGCGAAGGCUGUUGACUAGAACGCGCUCGACGGUGAGGGACGAAAGCUGGGGGAGCGAACCGGAUUAGAUACCCGGGUAGUCUCAGCUGUAAACGAUGCGAGCUAGGUGUUGGGGUGGCUACGUGCCACUUCAGUGCCGCAUGGAAGCCAUUAAGCUCGCCGCCUGGGGAGUACGGCCGCAAGGCUGAAACUUAAAGGAAUUGGCGGGGGAGCACCACAAGGGGUGAAGCUUGCGGUUU